GUUACAUCUAUUAGUUUGCCAAAUGCCUGCAGGUAGAGCUAUUCUUUCCAUACAAAAUGUGAGAAUGAGGUUAUGCUAUUGUAUGUACACUUUCACUUUAUUUCCUUGAAUAAUAAUGGGACUCUUAGCACGAAAUGUAAUUCCACAACUUCCUGGCUUUAAUCACACAGUAGAACAACACACCCAGGCCUAGAGAAUGGACAAAAAAAGUUAAAAUCAAGCAGCAGCGGUUGUGCCAUCAUGCAUCACAUGUCACAAAACAAGAAAAAAAACCAUAGAGAACUGAAAACAAAAUGGCAACAUGUUUCUGAUUAAAAAAAAACAAAAAUCUUCAUCUUAGCUAUAGUCAGACAGUGUCUGUUUUUGCCUUAAUAUUGCAAUUAAUUUUUCAGUACACUAAAAUUUGGUGUUUGGUGAAUUUUGUGUAUUGAGACACACCUCUUAAUUAUUGAAUUUAGGUGUUUAGGAGGUGAUAGGAUGCCACCUUUGUAAUUAGUUAGUUUGUGAAACUUCAUCCCUGCUAGAUAUUCCAUAGUCAACUGUAAGUAGUAUUAUUGGAGAGUGGAAUUGUUU